UACAGGAAGGACGAGCGUUAUUCAUCAUUAUUAGGUGUAAAAAAGUGCGUAGGCAGUGUUUACUUAUCAAUUUUUUCUUGUAGACGUUAUGGUCGUUUCGAAUCAUUUAGGUAAACAAAAGAGUGCGGUGGAGGUGGGUGUUAAUUGCUGAAAAAAGGGGUGAAAAUCCGAUGAAAUCAGUAGGAAGGCUAGUUGCGAAGGCAAUUUUUCCACGCCGCUCUGUCGUUGAGGCACGAAGGUCUGGGUAUCAAACGGGG
rnacentral:rRNA from 1 species